AACGCACGAGACCUGCGGACCUGCGGAAGGAUCAUUACAGAGUUGCAAAACUCCCAAACCAUUGUGAACGUUACCUUCUCGUUGCUUCGGCGGGCGGCCCGGGUCCUUCCCGGCGCCCCCCGGCCCCUCGCGGGCGCCCGCCGGAGGUAAACCAAACUCUUGAAUUGUAUGGCCUCUCUGAGUCUUCUGUACUGAAUAAGUCAAAACUUUCAGCAAUGGAUCUCUAGAUCGGAAGAGCAC
rnacentral:misc_RNA from 1 species